UACGAAGGGGGCUAGCGUUGCUCGGAAUGACUGGGCGUAAAGGGCGCGUAGGCGGAUGACACAGUCAGAUGUGAAAUUCCCGGGCUUAACCUGGGGGCUGCAUUUGAUACGUGUUGUCUAGAGUGAGGAAGAGGGUUGUGGAAUUCCCAGUGUAGAGGUGAAAUUCGUAGAUAUUGGGAAGAACACCGGUGGCGAAGGCGGCAACCUGGUCCUUGACUGACGCUGAGGCGACGAAAGCGUGGGGAGCAAACAGG
rnacentral:rRNA from 1 species